rnacentral:rRNA from 1 species
AACGAACGCUGGCGGCAGGCCUAAAACAUGCAAGUCGAACGCCCCGCAAGGGGAGUGGCGCACGGGUGAGUAACGCGUGGGAACGUGCCCUUCACUACGGGACAACGUCGGGAAACUGACGCUAAUACCGUAUAAUGACUCCGGUCCAAAGAUUUAUCGGUGAAGGAGCGGCCCGCGUCGGAUUAGCUAGUUGGUGAGGUAAAGGCUUACCAAGGCGACGAUCAGUAGCAGGUCUGAGAGGAUGAUCUGCCACACUGGGACUGAGACACGGCCCAAACUCCUACGGGAGGCAGCAGUUAGGAAUAUUGGACAAGGGGCGAAAGCAUGAUCCAGCCAUGCCGCGUGUGUGAUGAAGGCCCUAGGGUUGUAAAGCACUUUCGUUGGGGAUGAUAAUGACCGUACCCAAAGAAGAAGCACCGGCUAACUUCGUGCCAGCAGCCGCCGUAA